rnacentral:rRNA from 1 species
UACAGAGGAGCCAAGCGUUGUCCGGAUUGACUGGGCGUAAAGCGCACGCAGGCGGGUGCGCGCGUGGGGUGUGAAAUCUGGCCGCUUAACGGCCAGGCGCCAUCCCAUACGGCGCGCCUGGAGCCUUGCAGAGGUCGGUGGAAUUGCCGGUGUAGUGGUGAAAUGCGUAGAGAUCGGCAGGAACACCCAGGGGGGAAACCAGCCGACUGGGCAAGUGCUGACGCUGAGGUGCGAGAGGCGUGGGGAGCGAACCGG